rnacentral:rRNA from 1 species
AUUGAACGCUGGCGGCAGGCCUAACACAUGCAAGUCGAGCGAGCGGCGGACGGGUGAGUAAUGUAUGGGGACUCCCCGAUAGAGGGGGAUAACUACUGGAAACGGUGGCUAAUACCGCAUACUUCCGGAUAACCCAUAUGGGAUUAGCUAGUGGGGAAGGUAAUGGCUUACCUAGGCGACGAUCCCUAGCUGGUCUGAGAGGAUGAUCAGCCACACGGGGACUGAGACACGGCCCAAACUCCUACGGAGGCAGCAGUGGGGAAUAUUGCACAAUGGGCGCAAGCCUGAUGCAGCCAUGCCGCGUGUAUGAAGAAGGCCCUAGGGUUGUAAAGUACUUUCGGUCGGGAGGCGUUACCGACAGAAGAAGCACCGGCUAACUCCGUGCCAGCAGCCGCGGUAAUUC